rnacentral:lncRNA from 1 species
GCAGUUAUGUUUUUAUUAUUAUUCAAAUUAAUAAUAAAUAUAAAUUAUGUUACAAAUGAAUUUAUAUAGCAAUUUAAUGACUAAUUUUUGUUUAUUAAUAAUAAAAAACAUGAGUAGAUUAUGGUACCUGUUGGAUUUGCAAGUUCUAAGAAAACACACAUUAAAUAGAUUUUCACUCUAUUUUUUUUUUUUUUUGUUCAAAAGAUUUUCACUCUAUUUAUAAUGGUUUAGAUCUUCCAAAAAUAGAAUGUAACAAUUUCUUUAGAAAACUUAAACUUUGAUAUUAUAACAACGAUAUUUAUUUC